rnacentral:piRNA from 1 species
UAGCUGAUGUGUCACCUAACUUCUUUGUU